rnacentral:tRNA from 4 species
AGGGAUGUCGCCAAGUUGGUAAGGCACGUGGUUUUGGUCCACGCAUUCGCGGGUUCGAGUCCUGCCAUCCCUGCCA